GACGAACGCUGGCGGCGUGCUUAACACAUGCAAGUCGAACGAAGAGCCACGGAAGCUUGCUUCUAUCAAUUUUAGUGGCGCAUGGGUGAGUAACGCGUAAUCAACCCGUCCUUCAGAGGGGGACAACAGUUGGAAACGACCGCUAAUACCGCAUACGAUUUAACCUCGGUAUCGAGGAUAGAUAAACGGUGGUUCCUACAUGUAUGCUAGCAUCGAAGGAGGGGUUUGUGGCUGUUUAGUUAGCUGGGGGGGGAAGGGCCCACCAAGGCGAUGAUCGGUAGCCGGACGGAGAGGAGGAACGGCCCCAUUGGGACGGAGACACGGCCCAGACGCCUACGGGGAGCAGCAGUGGGGGAACUUCCGGAAUGGGGGGAAGGCUGGCCGGACAAGGCCGGGGGAGGGAGGAAGGCCUUCGGGUUGGUAAGCUCUGUUAAUCGGGGCGAAAGGCCUUCUUACGAAUAGUGAGACGGAUUGACGGUACCGGAAUAGAAAGCCACGGCUAACUACGUG
rnacentral:rRNA from 1 species